AUACUCUGGUUUCUCUUCAGAUCGUAUAAAUCUUUCGCCUUUUACUAAAGAUUUCCGUGGAGAGGAACAUUUAUUUAUUAGUAGGGCAAUAUUGGAAGAAAGAUUCUUUGCCUACU